AGGUGUUUUACCCCAAAGAAAACUUCAGUCACCCUUAUUAUCUGAACUUGUUAUGUGAACAGAUCAUCCAUGACACCUUUUCUGAUUCCUGCCUUCGGAUCUCCAGGGAGGAGAAGCGCAAGAUGAAAGAUCUGCUGACGGAGUUUCGGGUUGGUGCUGAUGUCCAGUCCAUUCAGGAGGAGGGGAUAAAGAAGAGGAUUGUACUGGCUGCUCGGGAUAACUGGGCCAACUAUUUCUCCCGCCUUUUCCC